rnacentral:rRNA from 1 species
UACGGAGGGUGCGAGCGUUGUCCGGAAUCACUGGGCGUAAAGGGCGCGUAGGCGGCGCGGGCAGUCAACGGUGAAAGCUCGGGGCUCAACCCCGAGUCGGCCGUCGAUACUCCCGUGCUUGAGCACUGUAGAGGCAGGUGGAAUUCCGGGUGUAGCGGUGGAAUGCGUAGAGAUCCGGAAGAACACCGGUGGCGAAGGCGGCCUGCUGGGCAGUAGCUGACGCUGAGGCGCGACAGCGUGGAGAGCAAACAGG